UAUAGCAAACCUUGUCCUGGAGCUUCUUUGAUGUGCUUGAGAAUACGAAUAACUUCUUCCCAAUGACUACUACAUAGAGCCUGGAGAUAUUGACUAAUGACACUGACAACAAAGAAAAUAUCUACCUUGUGAUUGUGAGAUAGUUGAGCUUAUCAACUAGCCUUUGGUAUCUAUCAAUGUCUUCCAAUGGCUGUCCUAUGUA
rnacentral:misc_RNA from 1 species